rnacentral:tRNA from 1 species
CAGAGGGUAGUUAAAUAAUAAUUCUAGCUUUGGGAGUUAGGGGUGGGAGUUAAAAUCUCUCCUCUUUGA